rnacentral:rRNA from 1 species
UGCAAGUCGAGCGGACAGAUGGGAGCUUGCUCCCUGAUGUUAGCGGCGGACGGGUGAGUAACACGUGGGUAACCUGCCUGUAAGACUGGGAUAACUCCGGGAAACCGGGGCUAAUACCGGAUGGUUGUUUGAACCGCAUGGUUCAGACAUAAAAGGUGGCUUCGGCUACCACUUACAGAUGGACCCGCGGCGCAUUAGCUAGUUGGUGAGGUAACGGCUCACCAAGGCGACGAUGCGUAGCCGACCUGAGAGGGUGAUCGGCCACACUGGGACUGAGACACGGCCCAGACUCCUACGGGAGGCAGCAGUAGGGAAUCUUCCGCAAUGGACGAAAGUCUGACGGAGCAACGCCGCGUGAGUGAUGAAGGUUUUCGGAUCGUAAAGCUCUGUUGUUAGGGAAGAACAAGUGCCGUUCAAAUAGGGCGGCACCUUGACGGUACCUAACCAGAAAGCCACGGCUAACUACGUGCCAGCAGCCGCGGUAAUACGUAGGUGGCAAGCGUUGUCCGGAAUUAUUGGGCGUAAAGGGCUCGCAGGCGGUUUCUUAAGUCUGAUGUGAAAGCCCCCGGCUCAACCGGGGAGGGUCAUUGGAAACUGGGGAACUUGAGUGCAGAAGAGGAGAGUGGAAUUCCACGUGUAGCGGUGAAAUGCGUAGAGAUGUGGAGGAACACCAGUGGCGAAGGCGACUCUCUGGUCUGUAACUGACGCUGAGGAGCGAAAGCGUGGGGAGCGAACAGGAUUAGAUACCCUGGUAGUCCACGCCGUAAACGAUGAGUGCUAAGUGUUAGGGGGUUUCCGCCCCUUAGUGCUGCAGCUAACGCAUUAAGCACUCCGCCUGGGGAGUACGGUCGCAAGACUGAAACUCAAA